GACGAACGCUGGCGGCGUGCCUAAUACAUGCAAGUCGAGCGAAGUUUUUCUGGUGCUUGCACUGGAAAAACUUAGCGGCGAACGGGUGAGUAACACGUAAAGAACCUGCCUCAUAGACUGGGACAACUAUUGGAAACGAUAGCUAAUACCGGAUAACAGUAUUUCUCGCAUGAGAGAUAUUUAAAAGUUGGUUAUGCUAACACUAUGAGAUGGCUUUGCGGUGCAUUAGCUAGUUGGUGGGGUAAAGGCCCACCAAGGCGACGAUGCAUAGCCGACCUGAGAGGGUGAUCGGCCACACUGGGACUGAGACACGGCCCAGACUCCUACGGGAGGCAGCAGUAGGGAAUCUUCCGCAAUGGGCGAAAGCCUGACGGAGCAACGCCGCGUGAGUGAAGAAGGAUUUCGGUUCGUAAAGCUCUGUUGUUAGGGAAGAAUGGAUAUGUAGUAACUAUACAUGUAAGAGACGGUACCUAACCAGAAAGCCACGGCUAACUACGUG
rnacentral:rRNA from 1 species